GACGAACGCUGGCGGCGUGCCUAACACAUGCAAGUCGAACGGAAAGGCCCUGCUUUUGUGGGGUGAUCGAGUGGCGAACGGGUGAGUAACACGUGAGUAACCUGCCCUAGACUUUCGGAUAACUUCACGAAACUAGACCUAAUACCGGAUCGGAGCCCCUGCUGCAUUGUGAGGGUGGGAAAGUCUCGGCGGUCGGGGAUGGAUGCGCGGGUUACCAGCUUGUUGGUGGGGUAGUGGCUUACCAACGCUUUGAAGGGUAGCCGGCCUGUGAGGGUGACCGGCGACCUUGGGACUGAGGUACGGCGCAGACGCCAACGUGAGGCAGCAGGGGGGAAUAUUGCCCAAUGAGACGAAGCGUGAUGCGGCAACGCCGCGUUCGUGAUGACGGUCUUCGGGUUGUAAACAGCUUUAGCCUGUGACGAAGCGGUAGUGACGGUAAUGGGUAAAUAAGCACCGGCUAACUACGUG
rnacentral:rRNA from 1 species